rnacentral:rRNA from 1 species
GCAAGUCGAACGGUAACAUAGAAUAGCUUGCUAUUCUGAUGACGAGUGGCGGACGGGUGAGUAACGCGUAGGAAUUUACCUUUCGGUGGGGGAUAGCCCGGUGAAAACCGGAUUAAUACCGCAUAAGCCCUACGGGGGAAACGAGGCCACUUCUUGAAAGCUUCGACCGAUAGAUGAGCCUGCGUUAGAUUAGCUAGUUGGUGGGGUAAUGGCCUACCAAGGCGACGAUCUAUAGCUGGUCUGAGAGGAUGAUC